UCUCCGGAUUGGCUUUGGGAAGCUGGCAACGGCCUCCUAUUGCUGAGAAGCUGAUCAAACUUGGUCAUUUAGAGGAAGUAAAAGUCGUAACAAGGUUUCCGUAGGUGAACCUGCGGAAGGAUCAUUAGUGAAUUAAACAUGCUUGGUGUCUUCGCUUCGGCAAGGCCCUUGCUUAACUCACAUCCCAACACCUGUGAACUGUAAGGCGCAUGACUAGGUUCGCCCAAGUCAUCGUCUGCCCUUUUUAACAAACAAUUAAUGUAACAAACGUAGUCUUAUUAUAACCUAAUAAAACUUUCAACAGCGGAUCUCUUGGCUCUCGC
rnacentral:misc_RNA from 1 species